GACGAACGCUGGCGGCGUGCCUAAUACAUGCAAGUAGAACGCUGAAGGAGGAGCUUGCUCUUCUGGAUGAGUUGCGAACGGGUGAGUAACGCGUAGGUAACCUGCCUGGUAGCGGGGGAUAACUAUUGGAAACGAUAGCUAAUACCGCAUAACAGUAGAUGUUGCAUGACAUUUGCUUAAAAGGUGCAAUUGCACCACUACCAGAUGGACCUGCGUUGUAUUAGCUAGUUGGUGGGGUAACGGCUCACCAAGGCGACGAUACAUAGCCGACCUGAGAGGGUGAGCGGCCACACUGGGACUGAGACACGGCCCAGACUCCUACGGGAGGCAGCAGUAGGGAAUCUUCGGCAAUGGACGGAAGUCUGACCGAGCAACGCCGCGUGAGUGAAGAAGGUUUUCGGAUCGUAAAGCUCUGUUGUAAGAGAAGAACGAGUGUGAGAGUGGAAAGUUCACACUGUGACGGUAUCUUACCAGAAAGGGACGGCUAACUACGUG
rnacentral:rRNA from 1 species